GGGAUUGAAGUGGAAAUCCCACGCUUUUUAGCGUGGAUUGCAACGAAAAGCACGACCCGAC
rnacentral:misc_RNA from 1 species